UGGGGAAUAUUGCACAAUGGGCGCAAGCCUGAUGCAGCCAUGCCGCGUGUGUGAAGAAGGCCUUCGGGUUGUAAAGCACUUUCAGCGAGGAGGAAGGGUUCAGUGUUAAUAGCACUGUUCAUUGACGUUACUCGCAGAAGAAGCACCGGCUAACUCCGUGCCAGCAGCCGCGGUAAUACGGAGGGUGCAAGCGUUAAUCGGAAUUACUGGGCGUAAAGCGCACGCAGGCGGUUUGUUAAGUCAGAUGUGAAAUCCCCGCGCUUAACGUGGGAACUGCAUUUGAAACUGGCAAGCUAGAGUCUUGUAGAGGGGGGUAGAAUUCCCAGGUGUAGCGGUGAAAUGCGUAGAGAUCUGGAGGAAUACCGGUGGCGAAGGCGGCCC
rnacentral:rRNA from 1 species